GAGGGGAGGACGGGGAGGGAGGAGGAGAGAGAGAGACGGGGAGAGAGAGAGACGGGGAGAGGGGGAGAGGAGAGGGAGACGGGGAGAGAGAGUGCAACACACAGAGAGAGAGGGAGGGGAGAGAGGCAGAAAGCUCUGGAUUGUGUUCACAAUUGACGCAGUCAGCUGUCAGCGCUGGCUCGAGGUGGCGUGCUCCUACACACAGUCAACUCCACGGCGGCCGCCGGGUCAGUCACGUGACCUCCUCCCGAGCCUCCGACGCUUCACGCGGCCGGCCUCAAAGCGCACCUCCCCUGGCACAGGCGCCACGGUGACGUCACCGCCACUCAUUGACGCCGGCCCUGCUGCGUGGACACCGCGCCACGCGCUGCACCUGUGCACGGAUCAAGGCCAUCGCACGGAUCAAGGCCAUCGCAAGCGAGGGUCUUCACCGUGCUGUUGGAGCUGCAACCAAAGCAAGAUGCGUACGCGCACCGAGGUUUAAUAAACGAGCGCGCGCACACACGCAGCACGGCCGAGCUUGAACGUUCCUUGUUCAUGAGCCCGCUCAGCCUGAACGUUCCUUGUUCACGAGCCCGCUCAGUCUGAACCUUCCUCGUUCAUGAGCCUGCUCAGUCUGAACGAUCCACAGUCCUGUAAGGGACCGCACGGAGGCCAUGCGCAGUGGGGCAUCUAAACCUAAGCCACGUUUGGAGGCUGAAACUAUUCCGCUCGCCCAAAACCAACGUGAACUUUGCCUCUCUUUAACACGCAGUCGUAUGCUUCUGCGACCAUAACAAGGCGUGUUCUUGUUGGGGUGAGUAUCGCGCAAAUAUAAACCUCUCGCGUCUCAUCACUCGAUCGGUUUCGCAGCUCGAUCUGGUGGCGCUUGUCAUCCGGUCGUGAGAAGGCCGCCCCUACUUUCCGUUUGCCAUCGGGGGCAACCGUGACAGCCACAUCAGGUAGCAGCUCA